rnacentral:lncRNA from 1 species
AUACAUCAGUUUUUCUUCAAGAAACCUUGAGCCAUCUUCAAGUAAUCACCAUACCCACCUUCAGAAUGUCCAGCACCACCGCUUGACUGGGUUGACGACUGGGUGGCGGCGCCGCCGGUUGCUGAGUGGGAAGAACUGGUUGUGGUGGUGGUGGUGGUGGAGGAGGAUUGAUACUUGUGGAGAUAAUUCUCAGCCUUCUCUACAUACUUGCCAAAACUUUUCUCCUCAAGCUUGCCGUAGUGAGAGGCAGCUCCAAGAAGAUCAGCUGCAGCACCAGCAACUCUGCCUUUGUCUACCUUGUGAGUUUCGUUGUUAAGUGAAGCUUUGGCUGCCUCAGCCACCAACUUGGCGCUGGAAAGAAGCUCAGAGGAAGAUGGUUGGCGGUGCUCGGUGGGUU